GACGAACGCUGGCGGCGUGCUUAACACAUGCAAGUCGAGCGGUAAGGCCCUUUCGGGGGUACACGAGCGGCGAACGGGUGAGUAACACGUGGGUGACCUGCCUCUAGCUCUGGGAUAAGCCUGGGAAGCUGGGUCUAAUACCGGAUAUGACCUCGCGGUGCAUGUUGCGGGGUGGAAAGCCUUGUGCGGCUAGGGAUGGGCCCGCGGCCUAUCAGCUUGUUGGUGGGGUGANGGCCUACCAAGGCGACGACGGGUAGCCGGCCUGAGAGGGCGACCGGCCACACUGGGACUGAGACACGGCCCAGACUCCUACGGGAGGCAGCAGUGGGGAAUCUUGCGCAAUGGGCGAAAGCCUGACGCAGCGACGCCGCGUGAGGGAUGACG
rnacentral:rRNA from 1 species